UACAGAGGGUGCAAGCGUUAUUCGGAAUCACUGGGCGUAAAGCGCUCGUAGGCGGUUAAUUAAGUUAGAUGUGAAAUCCCCAGGCUCAAUCUGGGACGUGCAUCUAAUACUGAUUGACUAGAGUGCAGGAGAGGAAAGCGGAAUUCCGGGUGUAGAGGUAAAAUUCGUAGAUAUCUGGAGGAACAACAGAGGCGAAGGCGGCUUUCUGGACUGUCACUGACGCUGAGGAGCGAAAGCGUGGGGAGCAAACAGG
rnacentral:rRNA from 1 species